rnacentral:rRNA from 1 species
UUCGCAAUGCCCGAAAGGGUGACGAUGCGACGCCGCGUGAGCGAAGAAGGCCCUAGGGUUGUAAAGCUCUGUCGAGGGUUAUGAAAUAUAGAUGGGUUAAUACCCCAUUUAUUUGACAAAAGCCCAAAAGGAAGCCACGGCUAACUCUGUGCCAGCAGCCGCGGUAAUACAGAGGUGGCGAGCGUUGUUCGGUAUUAUUGGGCGUAAAGAGCACGUAGGUGGUUUUGUAAGUCAGGUGUGAAAGCCUUCUGUUCAAAGGAAGAACGGCAUCCGAAACUGCAGAUCUUGAGUGUAGGAGGGGAGAGUGGAACUUCUGGUGGAGCGGUGAAAUGCGUAGAUAUCAGAAGGAACGUCGGCGGCGAAAGCGACUCUCUGGCCUAUUACUGACACUGAGGUGCGAAAGUUAGGGGAGCAAACGGGAUUAGAUACCCCGGUAGUCCUAACCGUAAACGAUGGGCACUAAGUAGAGGGGUUUU